GAUGAACGCUGGCGGCGUGCCUAAUACAUGCAAGUCGAGCGAACGGACGAGAAGCUUGCUUCUCUGAUGUUAGCGGCGGACGGGUGAGUAACACGUGGAUAACCUACCUAUAAGACUGGGAUAACUUCGGGAAACCGGAGCUAAUACCGGAUAAUAUUUUGAACCGCAUGGUUCAAGAGUGAAAGACGGUCUUGCUGUCACUUAUAGAUGGAUCCGCGCUGCAUUAGCUAGUUGGUAAGGUAACGGCUUACCAAGGCAACGAUGCAUAGCCGACCUGAGAGGGUGAUCGGCCACACUGGAGCUGAGACACGGUCCAGACUCCUACGGGAGGCAGCAGUAGGGAAUCUUCCGCAAUGGGCGAAAGCCUGACGGAGCAACGCCGCGUGAGUGAUGAAGGUCUUCGGAUCGUAAAACUCUGUUAUUAGGGAAGAACAUAUGUGUAAGUAACUGUGCACAUCUUGACGGUACCUAAUCAGAAAGCCACGGCUAACUACGU
rnacentral:rRNA from 1 species